rnacentral:rRNA from 1 species
CGGCAGCUACACAUGCAGUCGAGCGGUAGCACAGAGAGCUUGCUCUCGGGUGACGAGCGGCGGACGGGUGAGUAAUGUCUGGGAAACUGCCUGAUGGAGGGGGAUAACUACUGGAAACGGUAGCUAAUACCGCAUAAUGUCGCAAGACCAAAGUGGGGGACCUUCGGGCCUCAUGCCAUCAGAUGUGCCCAGAUGGGAUUAGCUAGUAGGUGGGGUAACGGCUCACCUAGGCGACGAUCCCUAGCUGGUCUGAGAGGAUGACCAGCCACACUGGAACUGAGACACGGUCCAGACUCCUACGGGAGGCAGCAGUGGGGAAUAUUGCACAAUGGGCGCAAGCCUGAUGCAGCCAUGCCGCGUGUAUGAAGAAGGCCUUCGGGUUGUAAAGUACUUUCAGCGGGGAGGAAGGCGAUAAGGUUAAUAACCUUGUCGAUUGACGUUACCCGCAGAAGAAGCACCGGCUAACUCCGUGCCAGCAGCCGCGGUAAUACGGAGGGUGCAAGCGUUAAUCGGAAUUACUGGGCGUAAAGCGCACGCAGGCGGUCUGUCAAGUCGGAUGUGAAAUCCCCGGGCUCAACCUGGGAACUGCAUUCGAAACUGGCAGGCUAGAGUCUUGUAGAGGGGGGUAGAAUUCCAGGUGUAGCGGUGAAAUGCGUAGAGAUCUGGAGGAAUACCGGUGGCGAAGGCGGCCCCCUGGACAAAGACUGACGCUCAGGUGCGAAAGCGUGGGGAGCAAACAGGAUUAGAUACCCUGGUAGUCCACGCCGUAAACGAUGUCGAUUUGGAGGUUGUGCCCUUGAGGCGUGGCUUCCGGAGCUAACGCGUUAAAUCGACCGCCUGGGGAGUACGGCCGCAAGGUUAAAACUCAAAUGAAUUGACGGGGGCCCGCACAAGCGGUGGAGCAUGUGGUUUAAUUCGAUGCAACGCGAAGAACCUUACCUGGUCUUGACAUCCACAGAACUUAGCAGAGAUGGUUUGGUGCCUUCGGGAACUGUGAGACAGGUGCUGCAUGGCUGUCGUCAGCUCGUGUUGUGAAAUGUUGGGUUAAGUCCCGCAACGAGCGCAACCCUUAUCCUUUGUUGCCAGCGGUCCGGCCGGGAACUCAAAGGAGACUGCCAGUGAUAAACUGGAGGAAGGUGGGGAUGACGUCAAGUCAUCAUGGCCCUUACGACCAGGGCUACACACGUGCUACAAUGGCGCAUACAAAGAGAAGCGACCUCGCGAGAGCAAGCGGACCUCAUAAAGUACGUCGUAGUCCGGAUUGGAGUCUGCAACUCGACUCCAUGAAGUCGGAAUCGCUAGUAAUCGUAGAUCAGAAUGCUACGGUGAAUACGUUCCCGGGCCUUGUACACACCGCCCGUCACACCAUGGGAGUGGGUUGCAAAAGAAGUAGGUAGCUUAACCUUCGGGAGGCGCUA